rnacentral:rRNA from 1 species
GACGUAGGGGGCAAGCGUUGCUCUGGAAUUGAUUGGGCGUAAAGCGCUCGUAGGACGGGACUGUAAGUCCGUGUUGAAAGACCUCGGCUCAACUGAGGGACCGGCGCGGAUACUAUAGUUCUUGAGGCAAUCAGGAGGGUGAUGGAAUUCCCGGUGUAGCGGUGAAAAUGCGUAGAUAUCGGGAGGAACACCAGUGGCGAAGGCGAUCACCUGGGGUUGUUCUGACGCUGAGGAGCGAAAGCUAGGGGAGCAAGCGGG